rnacentral:rRNA from 1 species
UACGUAGGGUCCGAGCGUUGUCCGGAUUUACUGGGCGUAAAGAGCUCGUAGGCGGUUUGUCGCGUCGUCUGUGAAAUCCCACAGCUUAACUGUGGGCGUGCAGGCGAUACGGGCAUAACUUGAGUACUGUAGGGGAGACUGGAAUUCCUGGUGUAGCGGUGGAAUGCGCAGAUAUCAGGAGGAACACCGGUGGCGAAGGCGGGUCUCUGGGCAGUAACUGACGCUGAGGAGCGAAAGCGUGGGUAGCGAACAGG